GAAUUUAAGCAUUUCAUUUAGGUAUUUCAUUCUUCCCUCCGAAAUUUAACAACACAGCUUUCCACUCCUUGCCCUAGCACACAUUCCAGACUCCCACGCCGGCCACGACACCUCCUUCCCUGUUAGCAAAAGGAAAGAAACAUGGCAAAUGAAAAUGAAAUUUUGCAUAUUGUAUGGGCUUGCUCUUGGACUUUGCAAAUCGCUUUACUUUGCCAUAUGGGUAGUCCUUUGAAGAGUUUAAUUGAAGUUAUAGACAACAAAGGAACACUAAUAGUUUAUUUAGAUCUUGCGGAUGCAUAUUCUUUGCUUCGCAUACCCAUACUAUGGACGGCCAUGGUUUUCGGGAACAGCAUUGGAAAUGCUUUAAUUGUUCAGCCAUUGAGUAUUUGUCAGCAUUCAAACAUAAUGCUGGUACUUACUACAUUGACUUACAUAUCCUUAUUAAAAGACAGAAUAUCUGGAGUUAGUGUCUUGAUUGGCUCAGUUGAAGUAUUAGCCCUCUUAAUUGUGUGUGGAGGGGCCAUUGUUGUAUGGCUACUUGUUGGCAUCAUAGCUAUUGGAGUUAAGUUGUUUAGGCUUUUCACAAAUAUGUUUCUUUGACCAAAAUAAUGUUCAAUAGGAGAUUUAGCAGUCAUUUUUUAGAAGUGAAACUAAAUUUUUAGUAUAUUAAUGCAAUCUUGUGGAAGUUUAUCCACUUUCAUUUUCUGAAAAAGGUGUCUAUCAUAAACUUGAUGAGAAGUUGAGCAUUUUUCUUUAAAUGUCAUAGUUUAAGAAACUAAUUCUUGCACAGAAAACUUAAUUACAAAACUUGAGCUUUACAAUAUAUAUAUAUAUAUAUAUAUGUGAUAUGAAGUGAAAAAAAAUUACUUGAGCAUAUAAUAUUCAAAAGAAUUUUUUUUAUCGAGAUGAAACUGAAAUAAAUCAACAACAUUCGUAGAGUUUAAAGAAAUUCAAGUUGUUUAUGAUUCAGCUAAUUGUAAAUUUUUAUGUGAUUGUCGACUUUUUAAUCUCGUGGAAUCCGUUUUUGUCACAUCUUUUGUGGCAUGAGAAAUGAGUAUAUUGAUUCUAUCCCUGAUAGUUUGAUUUUAAAACAACGGGCAAAGACUGCUAAAAGUGACCUUAUAACGGACAAAGUCUGCUUUUAUUUCCUCAGUUGGAACAUCAGAAAUUGAUCCUGAUAGCAUUGCAUUGGCUCGUUUUGGGGCUUUAUCCACUCUUGGUAAUAGGCUGUUUAAAUUGCUUAAGAAAACAGUGAGGUGUUUAAAGAGAUUAGGGGUGAAAUCUUGAAACUUACUGCUAAGGUUAUAAAACAAGGAGAUCAGUGCAUCAAAACCUCAUCUAAAACUAUUAUUGGUGAUAUGACGGUGCAUCAAAACCUCAUCUAAAACUAUUAUUGGUGAUAUGACGGUGCAUCAAAACCUCAUCUAAAACUAUUAUUGGUGAUAUGACGGUGCAUCAAAACCUCAUCUAAAACUAUUAUUGGUGAUAUGAUGGUGGACUAGUGGUGAAGACAAAAGGUGCUCCUUUAAAGAAUAAGUUAAGGAAGAAGAGGAGAUUAUGUUCUAAUUGUAGAAGACCUAGACAUGUUAGUUGUUACAAAAAAUGUCCAGUUUCAUGGUAAUAACCACCGAGAGAGUAUGAAUGUUGAAUGGCCUGCGGCUUUUAAUGGGAAACAGGGUAAAGAAAUCUUGUCAUGUCCUAAGAACAAUAUCAAUGAUGAAGGCUCAAAUAAGUCAAAAGGCUUGGAUGAAUAUAUUAUGGAAGCAGAGCCUACCAGCUCUUGCAAAUUGAAAGAAAAUGAGGGAAAUGUGAAUUCACAAUUCAUUUAAGGAAGUUGUUAGUGUUUUGUGGUUCACUAUUUGUUAGGAAUAAUGUUCGUAGUGCCAUUUUCCCUUGUUACAUUUUUCAUUUGCUUAUGAAUGAGAAUUCCUGAAAUAUUGAAUGAAAGGAUGCUAUGGAGUAUGCAGAAUGUUAGGCUAUUGCUAAGGAUUUUCCUCCAUUUAGAGAGGCCCUGAAGAAAAAGGGGCAUUGAAGACAUUGACCUUGUAAUGGUUAAUGCCUGGUGUGUUGGUUAUUACAGUGAAGCAGAGGGUCCGAAUCGUAGACUUUCUAUGCCACUUAUAUCUUGCCGAGCCUCAAGUGACUGCCCAUGGAAAAUGGCUAUGCAUGCCCAGUUGAGGCAUUUAUGUGCUUCUUGAUAUGCAAAACAUGUCAGUCAUUGAAUUUGAAGACUAUAAACACGUUUCUCUACCUCCCAUUGAUUCCUUGAGGAACUAUACACAUGGUGAAGCAAGUGGUGGAUCUGAUAGAAGUGAUAUAAAACCCUUGCAGAUUAUUCAGCUUGAAGGUCCAAGCUUUCGUGUUGAUGGGUCUUAUGUUGAAUGGCAAAAGGAAGUAAGGAUAGAAAAUGCUUUAAAUGUAGCUCCUUCUGAAAAUAUUUCACUAAAUGUUGAGAGAGCGAGCGAGCCAUAGCCAGAGAGAUUUUUGCAACCUGCUGCGAGCCACAGCCAGAGAGAUUUUUGCAACCUGCUGCGAGACAAAGUGAGAAGACGAAGUCCAAGGGAAAGAAAGAUGACACAUAAAAUGUUGUAUGGUAUAUGGACUCUUUCCUGGGGACUGCAAUUUGGAUUACUUAUCGCAAUGGGAAAUCCCUUCAAAAUUGCAUUCACAGAACAACGGCAACUGUUUUAAGUUUCAAGGAGGCAUGUUUUAUGCUUUUGACACCCGUACUGUUUACUGCACUAAUAUGUGGGAACAGCAUUGGAAAUACUGUAAUAAUUCGAUCGUCGUGUAUUUGUCUGCUCUCAAGCAUGCUAAUGGGGCUUACUGUAUUAUGUUACAUAUGGACAUUAUAUGUGCAAAUAUCCCAAGUUUAUGUUGAGUGGGGAUCAAAAAAAAUCUCAGCCCUUUUGAUUGUGUGGGCGGGUGCCGUUGUCAUAUGGCUGCUCAUCUGUUUCAUAAUGAUGGGAAUUAGGUUGUUUAAGAUUUGUAGUAUGUGGGUUUUUGCUAUUGAUAGAGAUGAACAUGAGAGUUAGCUGCCUUUAGGAAAACUGAAAGUCAAGUUUUAAUAUUGCUAUUUGCUAUUUGUUUUGAGUGUUAGCUGUCUCAGGUUCUUGACCACUUCUACCAUGCACUCUUGUAAAUGUUGUGCAUGGAUGUAUUAAAGAUGUUUUUACUAUUGAUCAAAUAAAAAAAUAGUUUAACAUUUGAGAUAUUUACCUCAAUUUAUUUGGCA